rnacentral:rRNA from 1 species
UACGUAGGUGGCAAGCGUUGUCCGGAUUUACUGGGCGUAAAGGGCGUGCAGGCGGUCUGUUAAGUUCAGGGUGAAAGCUCCCGGCUCAACUGGGAGAGGUCCUUGGAUACUGGCAGACUUGAGGGAGGUAGAGGAGAGUGGAAUUCCCGGUGUAGUGGUGAUAUGCGUAGAUAUCGGGAGGAACACCUGUGGCGAAAGCGGCGCACUGGACCACAACUGACGCUGAGGCGCGAAAGCUAGGGGAGCAAACAGG